GGGGUAGCUCAGCGGUAGAGCGGAUGGCUGUUAACCAUUAGGCCGCGGGUUCGAACCCCGCCC
rnacentral:tRNA from 1 species